rnacentral:rRNA from 1 species
AACGAACGCUGGCGGCAGGCUUAACACAUGCAAGUCGAGCGCCCCGCAAGGGGAGCGGCAGACGGGUGAGUAACGCGUGGGAAUCUACCCAUCUCUACGGAACAACUCCGGGAAACUGGAGCUAAUACCGUAUACGUCCUUCGGGAGAAAGAUUUAUCGGAGAUGGAUGAGCCCGCGUUGGAUUAGCUAGUUGGUGGGGUAAUGGCCUACCAAGGCGACGAUCCAUAGCUGGUCUGAGAGGAUGAUCAGCCACACUGGGACUGAGACACGGCCCAGACUCCUACGGGAGGCAGCAGUGGGGAAUAUUGGACAAUGGGCGAAAGCCUGAUCCAGCCAUGCCGCGUGAGUGAUGAAGGCCCUAGGGUUGUAAAGCUCUUUCAACGGUGAAGAUAAUGACGGUAACCGUAGAAGAAGCCCCGGCUAACUUCGUGCCAGCCGCCGCUGUAAUAC